UACCGAUGUCGAUCGAUCACCACAUGCGGAUGCUCCGAUUACGGCUCCCAUUGUGACGUCUGUUUCGACAUUAGAGGAUACUACCGAUGUCGAUCGAUCACCACAUGCGGAUGCUCCGAUUACGGAUUGGGAGGAGGUUGAGGAUCUUCGUUUGAUCUAUCUCAACACUCCAAGCAAAGGAAAACAGGUGAUCGAUAUUGUUUCCUAGGAUGAUGAGAUCACUGAUGAUG